UACGAAGGGAGCUAGCGUUGUUCGGAAUCACUGGGCGUAAAGCGCACGUAGGCGGAUGUGUCAGUCAGGGGUGAAAUCCUGGAGCUCAACUCCAGAACUGCCUUUGAUACUGAAGAUCUUGAGUUCGGGAGAGGUGAGUGGAACUGCGAGUGUAGAGGUGAAAUUCGUAGAUAUUCGCAAGAACACCAGUGGCGAAGGCAGCCCCCUGGGUCAAGAUUGACGCUCAUGCACGAAAGCGUGGGGAGCAAACAGG
rnacentral:rRNA from 1 species